GGGGAGGUAAAGCCAUGUUCCGGAUCGAGGGCCUUGCGCCGAAGCUGGACCCGGAGGAGAUGAAACGGAAGAUGCGCGAGGAUGUGAUCUCGUCCAUACGGAACUUCCUCAUCUACGUGGCCCUGCUGCGAGUCACACCUUUUAUCCUAAAGAAAUUGGACAGCAUAUGAAGAUGGGCAUCACAUGUGAAUGCAUGAUAUGAGGAACCCAGUUACAAUUUCUACUCCUAUCUGCAAAUGAACAGGCCCAGAAAGAUGAGGAAAGAAAAUCGCUAAGUGCAGAUAUGUUCAUGAUACCAGGAGACUGAAGACUAAUUUUUGUGGGACAUUGCAGAAACAUCAUGGAGACUACUGCUGCAUGUGAUACACCAAUGGGAGUUUAUAAGAUGCUUUUCUUCCCAAAAUUCAAAUUGUAUUGCCUCUGAUUAUUUGAGCUGAUGGGAGAGAAGCAAUACAUAGAUAAUUUAAAAUAAUAAAAAUGUUGCAAAAAAACAGUUUUAAGAAAUGUGGUAGAUAAGAAUUAGAACAAUGAAAUGUAGGAAAUGAUCAAAUGAAUUGCUCAUCUUAAUAUUAGUAAAAUUCAGCUUUAAUAUAACUUCAGUGUACUUCUGAGUAAAAUUUAAUAGGCUUACUAUUGCAUCUUUACAUCAACUAAAAUUUUAUACUCUGUUUUCAUAAUAACCAUUGUUUUCAUUGGUCUCAAGCAAAUGACAAAGAAUCUUUACUGAAUGUGAAGGUAAAAGUACAAAUAAGAUCUUAAGCCUACAAAAUCCAAAAAAAUUAUUAAUAAAAUAUUGCCACUAGCUUAGUGAAACAAUGAUUGCUAUUAAAGUGUUGAGGGGAAAGGCAUUGAGUUUAACAUCUUAUUUUUCCUCUUUAAGCUAACCUUCACUUCUGUUAGCAAGCACUCUACUAAAGUUUGUGCUAGAUAACACAGAUCAAAAUAUCAUUUAUUUCCUUCUUCCUGAUUCAUGUCUAAAAAGAUGGUAAAGCAG